UGCUGCCUCCAGGAGUAAAGGCAGGAGGCGAUGGGGGGGCUGCUGAUGACUAGGCACUUGUUGGAGUAACUGUUUGCCUCUUAGCGUGGAGCCAGAUGGCUAGUGAGGGGAAUUUAUAAAGUUAGGAAUUCAUGGCAGGAAAAGGUAGUUUGAAAGCUUCACGGUGGCCUUGGGAGAGAGCACAGGCAAUGAGAGGAAAGAAACAGGCACUGGAAGAGUUUGUGCUGCUAGAUCAAUUGGUGGCAAAUGUCAAAAACUGUGUUCCUAACAGUGAGGAAAAGUUUUACAGUUACAGUACCAGUUAGUGAAAGGUUUGCCAUGUAGCAUUCUACAGGCAAGGGGAACUGGUUACGAAGAUAUAGCUACAAAGAGAUAGCAAAGUUUUGGAAAGUAUAUUUAGAUAAUGUCACAAAUACAAUUGGAUAGUUUUUCAGAACUAUAUUAAAAAGUAUUUUCAACACAAAAUGAUUUCAAGAACAAAAAUGCACAGAAUUUGGAAAAGGAAAACGUCGUUUCAAAGAGGCAAACUUAUGAAUCGCAUCAGCAACGGAAUAUUUUGUCUGUCCAGAUACACAAGCCUCAAUAUCUUCUGGACUUAGCUGAGUCUGUAAGAAGAGUGCCAUCUGGAGGUUAAAUGCGUGAAGAAACAAAGAAAGGAAGAAUUAGAGAAAGAUGUUCAUUGAACCAAUCACACACAGUCCAUCUAGAAGGGAAAACAUUUAGAGUUCUUUACUAACCACUGUAAGUCAACAUGAGCAGUCAUAGAAGCACUCUUCACCUAGGUAUGCCCUUGGAACGCCUGCUCUACUCUUUAAUUGAGAAAUGACAACUUUUGCUUUCUUCCUUCUGCACCAGCCGCUUAUAUUGCUUGAAGGAUGUAAUUAAAAAGCCAUCAAAAUGAAAAAUAAAGUGUCUGCACUAUUCAGAUCUAA